GUCUGUGUGUAUGUAUAUGGUGUGCCUGUGCGCAGGUUUUGUAUGUGUCUGCCUAGGCCUUGUACGUCAGAAGCCUGGGCCUGGCUUUGGGAUCUCUGCUGUGUGUGUGUGUGUGUGUGUAUGUGUCUGUCUUUGUAUGCAGGGUGCGCAGUGUUUCAUGCAUAAUUUUUCUAUUUGUGUAUACCUAUGGCAUAUAAUGCAUACAGCCAUGUGAUGCUGCGGUCUGUGUAUCUGCUCAGUGUCUAGGUGAAUGUGGGGUGUGUUGACGGGGCCGGGUUAAGUUGUUGGAGUUUGUGUGCAACCAGUAUGUGGUGUUUCUUUGUAUUUCAUGCUCAAGCCUGUGUGUGUGUGUGUGUGUAUGUGGGGGAAGUGUUUUCAGGCCCGUGUCUGUGCCUUUUGGUGGGGUAUGAGUCAGGGCAUAUGGCAUUUGCAGGUCUGUGUGUGACUGUAUCUCCGUGUGGCAGUGUUUGGCGCGGGGGCAGCUCCGCCGUUGCAGACGAACGGCGAUCGUCACCGCCCUGUGGCUGCACUGGAGGUUGAAGCCAGACACCAGGAAGGACCGCCAACCGCCCGCCCCAGGCCACGGCCAUCUCCUAACAGGAGACUCGCACUCAUGAACCCUAAUUCAGACACAGCGGGGCACACUCCCGGGCACACCUAACACACACAGGAGUGUGGGCCAGGCUGCUGUCACCUGGAUCAAGGGGUAAGGCCCACUGAUGCACACCCAGGAAUCCGCGCACGUGAGCAAGUGCCCACGCACACACAGGGGAGACACAGGAGGGGCACCUAGAUGGCUCAGUUGGUUAAGCAUCUGCCUUCAGCUCAGGUCAUGGUCCC